UCUCUAGGCUACUGUUUGUAGGUCUCUAGGCUACUGUUUGUAGGUCUCUAGGCUACUGUUUGUAGGUCUCUAGGCUACUGUUUGUAGGUCUCUAGGCUACUGUUUGUAAGUCUCUAGGCUACUGUUUGUAGGUCUCUAGGCUACUGUUUGUAGGUCUCUAGGCUACUGUUUGUAGGUCUCUAGGCUACUGUUUGUAGGUCUCUAGGCUACUGUUUGUAGGUCUCUAGGCUACUGUUUGUAAGUCUCUAGGCUACUGUUUGUAGGUCUCUAGGCUACUGUUUGUAGGUCUCUAGGCUACUGUUUGUAGGUCUCUAGGCUACUGUUUGUAGGUCUCUAGGCUACUGUUUGGAGGUCUCUAGGCUACUGUUUGUAGGUCUCUAGGCUACUGUUUGUAGGUCUCUAGGCUACUGUUUGUAAGUCUCUAGGCUACUGUUUGUAGGUCUCUAGGCUACUGUUUGGAGGUCUCUAGGCUACUGUUUGGAGGUCUCUAGGCUACUGUUUGGAGGUCUCUAGGCUACUGUUUGUAGGUCUCUAGGCUACUGUUUGUAGGUCUCUAGGCUACUGUUUGUAGGUCUCUAGGCUACUGUUUGUAGGUCUCUAGGCUACUGUUUGUAGGUCUCUAGGCUACUGUUUGUAGGUCUCUAGGCUACUGUUUGGAGGUCUCUAGGCUACUGUUUGUAGGUCUCUAGGCUACUGUUUGUAGGUCUCUAGACUACUGUUUGUAGGUCUCUAGGCUACUGUUUGUAGGUCUCUAGGCUACUGUUUGUAGGUCUCUAGGCUACUGUUUGUAGGUCUCUAGGCUACUGUUUGUAGGUCUCUAGGCUACUGUUUGUAAGUCUCUAGGCUACUGUUUGUAGGUCUUUAGGCUACUGUUUGUAAGUCUCUAGGCUACUGUUAGUUUUGUAAUGUUUCUACCUGUUGUCUUUCCUAUGCUGUAAGUUGUUUCUGUAUAAAUGUUCUGUUGUUCUAUCAAUGCAUGUUGUAACUUUGGAGCCGUGACUGGCUGUGAAACACACACACAACUCCGGUUUACCUGUCCUGGAAAAAGUGUCUCAAUGUCCCAAGAUAUUUCUUUACAUUCCACUUAGAUGACUGACAGUUAAAUAAAAUCGAAUUCAUUAAUGGUUUUGUAUUCCAGACAUGUAUUCAGUGAUACAGUGUAUUUCAGACAUGCAUUCAGCUUUCAGUGAUACAAAGACAAAUUUAACUGACAGUUACAUACUCUUAGGAAAGAAGCAAAUCUACAAUAGCAUGUUUCAGAAGAAAACAAAAUGACCCAAAACACCCAUAUAAACAAAACUUAUAUGUUGGCAGAGGUUUCAUACCAAUUUUUAUGGGAGAUACUGGUACAGUCUGGGCCAUAUGCAUGUACACACUGUCUGAGCGGCAUUCUGAUUGUGCCUGAUCCCUGUGCUGUCCUGUGUCUGUAUGUCCAUGAAGAGGAGGUAGACAGUAACCCAGGGUUAUAUAAAGAGGAAUCUGUCCAGGGUUAUAUGAAGAGGAAGCUGUCCAGUGUUAUAUGAAGAGGAAGCUGUCCAGGGUUAUAUGAAGAGGAAGCUGUCUAGGAUUAUAUGAAGAUGAAGCUGUCCAGGGUUAUAUGAAGAGGAAGCUGUCCAGGGUUAUAUGAAGAGGAAGCUGUCCAGGGUUAUAUAAAAAGGAAUCUACCCAGGGUUAUAUAAAGAGGAAGCUGUCCAGGGCUAAAUAAAUAGGAAGCUGUCCAGGAUUAUCUGAAGAGGAGGUUGUCCAGGAUUCUAUGAAGAGGAAGAUGUCCAGGAUUAUCUGAAGAGGGAGCUGUCCAGGGUUAUAUGAAGAGGAGGCUGUCCAGGGUUAUAUGAAGAGGAAGCUGUCCAGGGUUAUAUGAAGAGGAAGCUGUCCAGGAUUAUAUGAAGAGGAAGCUGUCCAGGGUUAUAUGAAGAGGAAGCUGUCCAGGGUUAUAUGAAGAUGAAGCUGUCCAGGGUUAUAUGAAGAGGAAGCUGUCCAGGGUUAUAUGAAGAGGAAGCUGUCCAGGGUUAUAUGAAGAGGAAGCUGUCCAGGGUUAUAUGAAGAGGAAGCUGUCCGGGGUUAUAUGAAGAGGAAGCUGUCCGGGGUUAUAUGAAGAAGAAGCUGUCCAGGGUUAUAUGAAGAGGAAGCUGUCCGGGGUUAUAUGAAGAGGAAGCUGUCCGGGGUUAUAUGAAGAGGAAGCUGUCCAGGGUUAUAUGAAGAGGAAGCUGUCCAGGGUUAUAUGAAGAGGAAGCUGUGAACGGUGGGACAGGAGCAGGAGUCUCGUCUCCCAACACGUCUCCACACAACACGACACCUGGGGUUCCCCACUGCCUGCCACUGAGAGAGGGGGG